rnacentral:ncRNA from 1 species
UGGACGACUUUUAAGCAACGCUUAAGAGACAAGGAUUCCCUUAGUAACUGCGAGUGGACAGAGAUUAGCCCAGCACCAAAGCCUGCGGUUAAUUGAUCGUGAGACAAUGUAGUGUUUGGGCUGGCUUCAGGCAUUACUGCUCUGCCCCAAGUCCAGCGAUGAGUACGGCUUCCUAUUUUGGUUCAAAGAGAGUGAAAAGCCCGUGGGAAAGAGAUCAAGUGUGACAGUUCUGAUCUGAACUACCCUUGGAGUCGGGUCGUUUGUGAAUGCAGCCCAAAGUGGGUUGUAGACUUCAUCUAAGGCUAAAUACUUACAUGAGUUCGAUCGAGAACUACUUUGGAG